GGGGGGGGGGGGGGGGGGGGGGGGGGGGUGGGGGGGGGGGGGGGGGGGCGGGCGGUGGGGGGGGGCGGGGGGGGCGAGGGGGGGAGUGACCCGGGAGUGGCCUGCCCGUGACUUUGGGAUGACUUCAGGCAGCUGGGGCGCCGACCGGCUAGCAGCUCCGGCUGCAUGGUGGGGGGUGGAAAGGUGCGGCGGUUGGUGAUGGUCUCGCGGCUGAUCAGCUUGUUGGUGGGGUAGUGGCGUCCCAAGGCUUUGACGGGUAGCCGGGCUGAGAGGGGGACCGGCAACAAUGGGACUGAGCAACGGCACAGACUCCUACGGGAGGCAGAAGUGGGGAAUAUUGCACAAUGGGCGGAAGCCUGAUGCAGCAACGCCGCGUGCGGGAUGACGGCCUUCGGGUUGUAAACCGCUUUCGCCUGUGACGAAGCGUGAGUGACGGUAAUGGGUAGAGAAGCACCGGCUAACUACGUG
rnacentral:rRNA from 1 species